rnacentral:rRNA from 1 species
UACGUAGGUGGCAAGCGUUAUCCGGAAUUAUUGGGCGUAAAGCGCUCGCAGGCGGUUUCUUAAGUCUGAUGUGAAAGCCCACGGCUCAACCGUGGAGGGUCAUUGGAAACUGGGAGACUUGAGUGCAGAAGAGGAGAGUGGAAUUCCACGUGUAGCGGUGAAAUGCGUAGAGAUGUGGAGGAACACCAGUGGCGAAGGCGACUCUCUGGUCUGUAACUGACGCUGAGGAGCGAAAGCGUGGGAGCAAC